UUACGGCCACAUCCCGUUGAAACGCUGGUUCCCGUACGGUCACUGAAGUUAAGCAACGUUGAAUCUGGUUAGUACCUAGAUGGGUAACCGUUUGGAAAUGCUAGGUGCUGUAAG